AUCCAACUGACGAGUCCCACACAGGACGAAACGCGCGUCUUGGAU
rnacentral:hammerhead_ribozyme from 1 species